AUGAUUGGACAUUUGUUAUAAUUGGACAUUUUUAUUAUCGACACAGCAUAAAAUUUAGCAAUAUGGUUAAAUACAACAGCUUCGAUAUUCGACAAUAACUUUAACAGUUGUGAUUAUUAUUGUAUUGUCAGACUUAUCGAUAGACGAGAAGUCGUAUUGAGAUUAGAAGUCUUAUUGAUAUACCCAUUCACCAGAUAUCAACAUUGUGUCAAAUGCAAAAUCAUUAAUUAAAAAAAUACAGCGCAAAAACGCCACUUAAAGGGGCGGGGCGAAAAGGAUGGAUACAUGGUGGAACCGAUACCCCACUCGACUUUCGCAGCCCCGCGUAUCGUCAUCAUCACACAACCUUUGAUUGAGAAAUAACAAUAAGUUUCCUCGUUAUUUUUGCUUUUUUUUAUGAAACCCAAAUGAAGUGCUUGAAUCUCGCCAUGUCAUGUGUUGGACACGUGAAUGCUGGAAUAAUAAACCGAUUCGGACUGUGCUCAGACAAAAAUAACUACAAUCAAUAACACCUUCAAAGGCAUGAAUCUCGAGAAAUUUAUGUCUUACAGCGAACUACUGUUUGUAGUAUUCUUGGUAGUACUGGAAACAAGGCUGGAAAGAAUACCACGUCAACAGCAGUUUUUGAAGGCAGACGGAAAUCACGUUGGCCAAUGAUCUGCUCAACGGCAGCCCUUGAAGAUGAGACUCUGAAAAUUUCACUUACUUGGUUUCGGGUACGAUGGGAUGCUGUAGUAAUAGCAGUACGCUCCGAACCCCAGGAGGAUGGA